rnacentral:rRNA from 1 species
UACGAAGGGGGCUAGCGUUGCUCGGAAUCACUGGGCGUAAAGCGCACGUAGGCGGCUUUCUAAGUCAGGGGUGAAAUCCUGGAGCUCAACUCCAGAACUGCCUUUGAUACUGGAAAGCUUGAGUUCGGGAGAGGUGAGUGGAACUGCGAGUGUAGAGGUGAAAUUCGUAGAUAUUCGCAAGAACACCAGUGGCGAAGGCGGCUCACUGGCCCGAUACUGACGCUGAGGCGCGAAAAGCGUGGGGAGCAAACAGG